AACAAAAUAUAAGUAAUAUAAUUUGCAUAUAUAAAAUUAUAUUUUCCAUAUGAACAUUAGCUUUGAUAUAUAUUUUUUUUCUGCCGGAAUCGUAUAUUUAAUCUAGUUACUUAAUUGCAACAUCUUAAAAUACGUGCAAAACAAGAUGUUAACCCUUUUGUUUCUUGUACAAAGAAAGUUAUUUUUCUUGAAUUUGAUGGGCAUUACGUAUUUAAGAACUUGUGCACAUUAAAUAUUUUUGGAAUUUAGAAACUUGCUCGGAUAGGUUCAGAAUAUAUAGCUGCGAUAAGUACAAGGGAAUAACAAUUUGUUUAAUUGUAUUUCUAAAUAAUUUCCGAGGGGCAUAUAGUUUUAAUAUUAUUUUAUCUUGGUUUGAGUUAUUGAUCCUAUAAUAUUUGAUAAGCAUUUCUCACACACAUUAGAGUUAAGCAGGUCCAGCGCUGAGAUGCUUGUACCUUAUAAACAUGGAUUCGUCCAUCCAAUCGGCUAAUCAGCUAAUCGGAAAAGUAGCUUUAACAUUUUACCACUAAACAUAUAGCAACACCUAACAUAAUUGUUUAAGCAAUGCUCCAAUUGCAUGGAAAUGGAACCAAGGAGUCCUUAAUUCGAAAAUCAGCUCAUUUAGCUACUUGGAUUCAAGCUCGUCUUUGAGUGUGCGCAGUUCUGUAAGUCCUUCCUGCCAUAAAAAGUUCAAGUGCCGGUGGUGCAUUGUUUAAAUGUUGUUUCACAUUUCGGAUAUUCAGAAACGGGUUGAUGCAGAUCGAUAGAUGAGCGAAACAGCGCUCAGGAUUAUGCAGUUCACAGCUGUUGGCCAGCUGAGAUUUGGGGCUGAGCUCGGAGGCGGGCUGGUUGGCGGUAGGCCAAGCUUGAUGGUAAUCUGGCGGGUCACAUUAGCCGGCAUCACGUUACAUUCGAACUUGUGGCCAGUUGCGUUGGCCAGCGGCACAUUCAGGACGAACUGGUUGUCCAGACUGUAGAUGUUGAUGAUCGACAGGUUGCCAUUCAUGACGAGCUGCUUGUCCCGGUACCAGAGUAUCGCAUGGUGUAUGGCUGAAAGCAUAUGGAGCACGAUAUUUGGCAAUUAAUGCCCAGCUGGGACACACCCCAAGUGUCUUAAAUUUACCAUCAUAGUUCUUAACCGGGCAAUCGAGCUUCACAUUUGUUGCAUUGGGCUGGACAUAGACGACUGCCGUCUUCUGAUCGAAGUAUGGCACCAUUGGAACUGCAGUCGAUUUGGCCAAAUUGCCAGGGGAGCGCGAGGCGUCAUCAUCAUCGUAGACAUUCUCAUAAUCGGGGCUUGUCUCGCCGGCGGCGUGUGCUGAGGAGUACACACAUACAUUAUAGAAUAGGAUGGAUAGGUUAAUAUAUAUGUAUAUAUAUUGACUGAGCUGGGCGAGGCAAGGUCAACAACAGUAGCCAGCACACCUGGAUAACGUAAUUAAGGCCCAAUUAUGCACUGAAUACCCACUCUAUGCUGACUGACCACACUCUACAGAUUUUCGUGCCGUGCGAUAAUCGAGCUUAUCCGAAAAUCGGCUAGGCCGAAGCUUAGAUUCUCUAGCCGAAACCCUGACCCACGCCCAACUGGCGACGACAGCAUAAAACCAUUAGGAAAAGGGCGCAGCCCAGGUGGCACGGUGUCAACGCCCAUUUGGAUGACUAGCACGGCACAUGCUCAUAUUCCACGAGUCUUCACAUGCCAUGCCAGCUCCUCGAGGUCAUUAUAAGUUUAUGGCAUAUCAGCUUCAGCACACGGGAAUUGUCAGUGAAGCGUUUUCGGGAUUUGGACACGGACACGGACACCAUAUACUUGUAUAUUGAUUUAUGUCAAGGCUUCCCACACAACUAUUCACAAUAUAAUGGUGGGGAUAUGUAUUCGAAUUGCUUGCGUCAUUUGCACGUCCUGAAAUUGGCAACCUACCCACACACACACACACACACACACACACUCAGCGUGCGGUAAGUUAUUUAUCCUGUUUAUUAACACACAUCGAAUAUCGAGCGUUUAUGUAUCUAGGACUUGUGAUAGUCAAACUCAAAUAGGUCACAGUUCCAGCAGCUAACCAUGUCUGUGGCUCGAUUUAUUUAUAAGAUCUAUUUAUUGAACACUAGCCCACGUCAAACAGAGUAUGACAAAGAAUUCAAGAGGGUUAAAAGCUCAACAAUUGUUUUCUUAUCAUUUUCAAUAGAACAAUUAAAUAUGCUUUAAAUUAGA